rnacentral:rRNA from 1 species
AGAGUUUGAUCCUGGCUCAGAACGAACGCUGGCGGCGCGUCUUAAGCAUGCAAGUCGAGCGGCAAGCUAUGUGUUUACACGUAGCCUAGAGCGGCGGACUGGUGAGUAACACGUGGGUGACCUACCUAAAAGUUGGGAAUAGCCGUUAGAAAUAGCGGGUAAUACCGAAUGUGCUUACAGGAAGAAAGUCUUGUAAGGAAAGGAGCUACGGCUUCGCUUUUAGAUGGGCCCGCGCCCCAUUAGCUAGUUGGUGGAGUAAAAGCCUACCAAGGCGAUGAUGGGUAGCCGGCCUGAGAGGGUGAACGGCCACACUGGGACUGAGAUACGGCCCAGACUCCUACGGGAGGCAGCAGCUAAGAAUAUUCCGCAAUGGACGAAAGUCUGACGGAGCGACGCCGCGUGGAUGAUGAAGGCCGGAAGGUUGUAAAAUCCUUUUGUCAACGAAGAAUAAGCGGAGGAGGGAAUGUCUUCGUGAUGACGUUAGUUGACGAAUAAGCCCCGGCUAAUUACGUGCCAGCAGCCGCGGUAACACGUAAGGGGCGAGCGUUGUUCGGAAUUAUUGGGCGUAAAGGGCGCGUAGGCGGUUUUGCCAGCCUGAUGUGAAAGCCUGGGGCUUAACCCUGGAAUUGCAUUGGGAACUGCAAGACUUGAAUCAUGGAAGGGAAAUCAGAAUUCCAGGUGUAGGGGUGAAAUCUGUAGAUAUCUGGAAGAAUACCGGUGGCGAAAGCGAUCAUCUGGACUACAACUGACGCUGAGGCACGAAAGCGUGGGGAGCAAACAGGAUUAGAUACCCUGGUAGUCCACGCCGUAAACGAUGGAUACUAGGUAUAGGGAGAUAUUCUCUCUGUGCCGCAGCUAACGUAUUAAGUAUCCCACCUGGGGAGUACGGCCGCAAGGCUGAAACUCAAAGGAAUUGACGGGGACCCGCACAAGCAGUGGAGUAUGUGGUUUAAUUCGAAGCAACGCGAAGAACCUUACCAAGGCUUGACAUAAUACUGAAUAUUCUAGAGAUAGGAUAGGCCUUCGGGACAGUAUUACAGGUGGUGCAUGGUUGUCGUCAGCUCGUGUCGUGAGAUGUUCGGUUAAGUCCGGCAACGAGCGCAACCCUCGUGGCCAGUUGCCAUCAUUUAGUUGGGCACUUUGGCCAGACUGCCGUUGACAAAACGGAGGAAGGUGGGGAGGACGUCAAAUCAUCAUGCCCCUUAUAUCCUGGGCUACACACGUACUACAAUGGGCGUUACAACGGGCAGCCACACCGCGAGGUGGAGCGAAUCCCCAAAGGCGUCCUCAGUUCGGAUUGCAGGCUGCAACUCGCCUGCAUGAAGCCGGAAUUGCUAGUAAUGGCAGGUCAGCAUACUGCCGUGAAUACGUUCCCGGGCCUUGUACACACCGCCCGUCA